CAACUCUCAGCAACGGAUAUCUUGGCUCUUGCAACGAUGAAGAACGCAGCGAAAUGCGAUACGUAGUGUGAAUUGCAGAAUUCCGCGAAUCAUCGAGUUUUUGAACGCAAGUUGCGCCCGAGGCUUGACCAAGGGCAUCUCUGCCAGAGCGUCACCG
rnacentral:rRNA from 2 species